AAAUUUUUUAUUGUUAUGUUAAUCACCAUACAUUACAUCAUUAGUUUUUGAUGUAGUGUUCCAUGAUUCAUUGUUUGUGCAUAAUACCCAGUGCUCCACGCAGAACGUGCCCUCUUUAAUACCCAUCACCAGGCUAACCCAUCCCCCCACCCCCUCCCCUCUAGAACCCUCAGUUUGUUUUUCAGAGUCCAUCGUCUCUCAUGGUUUGUCUCCCCCUCCGAUUUCCCCCUCUUCAUUCUUCCCCUCCUGCUAUCUUCUUCUUUUUUUUUUUUUCUUAACAUAUAUUGCAUUAUUUGUCUUCUACUUGCCUAUGUUCUGUUGAUGGGAGAGAGAGACCUAAAAGUCUGCCUUGCCCUAAGGUUUGCACAUACAUUUCCUUCCAGCAAGUUUCUGGCCCCCCUGAACCCCUGGCAGCUCCUACCCUCUGUCCAAACCACUUAGCAACAAUUUUAAGGACAUAUUCUCAGCAAAAUGCAGACCAGUGUGAUCUACCGACCCACAGUCAUGGGUCAUCACGUUACUUCUCUCAGAAGCAGUUUUAAUUGUGAUAAGGAAGUCAAACAAUGCCUGAAAUUCCUGCUUCUACUUUUCCUUCCUUCGUGCUCUACUGGGUUUGGUUGUUUGGCAUUCUCUAGUGUUUUUCCAUGCGGAAGAUCUUGCUCUUGGAAGCACGACAUGAGUCCUAGAGAUGUUCAACCUGUGGCUUGGAGGUCAAAGAUUGUAUAUCUCUGAAGUUUAUGGCAUCUAUUUCAAAACUGGAUCCACUCAUCAAACAGUAGACCAAAAACCUGUGUGUGUUACUCUAUGUAUAUUAAACCUAAGUUUUAAAAUAAGGGGAGAAAAGUACCAGAACAGUUAAUUUAGGAUCUCUUGGUGAUGGGGCCUGAAUAUGAAUAUAUUAUUCAAAAUGCUCCAGGUGAUUCUUAUGUGCAACUAGGGAGAAGAAACAUUACCUUUUAAUACAGGAAGGCCAAGGGUAGUUUGGGUACAGGGUUUGGGGCAUACUGG
rnacentral:lncRNA from 1 species